rnacentral:rRNA from 1 species
GCCCUAAUAAGGUGAAACCGCGAAUGGCUCAUUAAAUCAGUCAUGGUUCCUUAGAACAUACCAUCCUUCUUGGAUAACUGUGGUAAUUCUAGAGCUAAUACAUGCAACAGAGCUCCGACCCUUGUGGAACGAGCGCUUUUAUUAGACCAAAGACCAAUCGGAGCUUCGGCCCCGUCAGUCUGUGGUGACUCUGGAUAACUUUUAGCGGAUCGCACGGUCAUCGUGCCGGCGACUCCUCUUUCAAAUGUCUGCCUUAUCAACUUUCGAUGGUAGGUUAAUUGCCUACCAUGGUUGUAACGGGUGACGGGGAAUCAGGGUUCGAUUCCGGAGAGGGAGCCUGAGAAACGGCUACCACAUCCAAGGAAGGCAGCAGGCACGCAAAUUACCCACUCCCAGUACGGGGAGGUAGUGACGAAAAAUAACAAUGCGGGACUCUUACGAGGCCCCGUAAUUGGAAUGAGUCCACUUUAAAUCCUUUAACGAGGACCUAUUGGAGGGCAAGUCUGGUGCCAGCAGCCGCGGUAAUUCCAGCUCCAAUAGCGUAUACUAAAGUUGUUGCGGUUAAAAAGCUCGUAGUUGGAUGUCAGUCGCGGGCGGGCGGUCCACCGUUUUGGUGGUUUACUGCUCGUCCCGCGACCUACUGGCCGGCCUCCCCCGCUAUGCUCUUCACCGGGUGUGGCGGGUGGCCGGAAAGUUUACUUUGAAAAAAUUAGAGUGCUCUAAGCAGGUGCUUGCCGCCUGAAUAACACAGCAUGGAAUAAUGGAAUAGGACCUCGGUUCUAUUUUGUUGGUUUUCGGAAUUCCGAGGUAAUGAUUAAUAGGGACAGACGGGGGCA